rfam:Loxodonta africana unplaced genomic scaffold scaffold_29, whole genome shotgun sequence.
UGAGGAGGCCAUACCACCCUGAAUUCGCUGGAUCUUGUCUGAUCUCAGAAGCUAAGCGGGGUUGGACCUGAUUAGUACUUGCAUGGGAGACUGCCUGGGAAUAGCGGGUGCUGUAGGUU